rnacentral:lncRNA from 1 species
CUCUUUUUAGAUAGAUAAAUUUAUCAUAUUUACAAGUAGUACUCAUACGCCGGGUUAACAAUAACAAUCUACGUCACAUGCUAGAUGCAGUACAGUUUCGUACAAGCCAAGCACAAACCUCACCCAUCAAGACUGAAAGAGAUGAGGAUUGAGGUCGUGUAGUUCGAUAAGACGUGGCAGAGAAUGGUUUGAGAGUUUGGUCUUAUUCAAUCAGAUCGGAAGGAAUC